CCCCUUCGUCAACGCGCGAUUUCGCAGGAGAAGAGGAUGCGCCGGCGUCCAUGGCGUCGAUCCUUCUUUUCGCAUCUCGUACUCAUCCUUUUCUUCCUCCCCCUCGUUCUCUUCCUCUGCCUCUCCCUUCUGUGGGUCGCAUUUUUGGGCGCUGACGCCGUACCGAGGGUGAAGAGAUCAGCUGAGCUCCCACUUCGAUUCCGAUCCGAUGGCAGCUUCAAGAUCCUUCAGGUGGCUGAUAUGCAUUAUGGGAACGGGCUGGUGACCCGGUGUCGAGACGUAUUGCCGUCGGAGUCCUCCCGAUGCACCGAUGUCAACUCGACGGUGUUCCUAAAGAGGAUGAUCGAAGCGGAGAGGCCCGAUCUGAUUGCAUUCACAGGGGAUAACAUAUUUGGCGCCAGCGCUACGGAUGCUGCAGAAUCCCUUUUCAAAGUCUUUAGACCUGCCAUGGAAUCCAGGAUUCCCUGGGCAGCAAUCUUGGGCAAUCAUGAUCAGGAGUCAACCAUGCCAAGAGUGGAGUUGAUGUCAUUUAUCUCACUUAUGGAUUAUUCAGUGGCCCAAGUAAAUCCAUCAGGUUUUUUGGUAGAUGGAUAUGGGAAUUACGACAUCAAUGUGCAUGGAGCAUGGGAUUCUGGACUGGCUAAUACCAGCGUUCUCAAUCUCUACUUCCUUGACAGUGGUGAUCGUGCUAUGGUCGGUGGACGGAGAACUUAUGGAUGGAUAAAGGAUUCUCAAUUGACUUGGCUUCGAGCUGUUUCUGAAGAUCUACAGAGCAGGUACCCAGCUCCUUCGCUAUCAUUCUUCCACAUUCCAAUUCCAGAGGUUCGAGAGCUGUGGUUUAAGGGUUUCGUAGGCCAGUUCCAAGAGGCAAUUGCUUGUUCUUCUGUCAACUCUGGGGUCCUUCAGACCCUUGUCUCCAUGGGAGAUGUAAAGGCAGUAUUCAUUGGCCAUGACCAUCUGAAUGAUUUCUGUGGAAACUUAGAUGGUAUAUGGUUCUGCUAUGGCGGUGGCUUCGGUUAUCAUGGGUAUGGAAAACCCAGUUGGCGAAGGCGAGCAAGGGUAGUUUUGGCUCAACUUGGAAAAGGGAAAGGGACAUGGAUGGGCGUUGAGGUGAUCAAGACCUGGAAGCGGUUGGAUGAUGAUAAGCUGACUAAGAUCGAUGAGCAGGUGCUUUGGAGACGAGAUCCAUGGGAGGACCAAUGACAUUUAUGCCUCUCGGUGCCUUGCACAUCACUCGAAAAGAAGUAUCUUUCUUGCUUAGGUCCAUUUGUUUAGAUGGUAUAUGGUUCCGCUAUGGAGGCGGCUUCAGUUGUUUUGCAACGGGUUAGCGAAGGCGAGCAAUGGUAGUUUCUGCCAAACCUGGAAAUCGUUAAGGCACAUGGAUGGAGAUCGAGAUGAAGUGAUCCUCCGGAGGAACCUUAACAUUUACGCAGCAUGGUGUCUUGCGUUUCAUUUUUGGUGGUGAUGAGAUCGAUCGCGGCGGAGCAAGCGAAAGAUCCGGCCACAAACAGCGCCGCCGCCGCAAGCAGAAGCGCCUUCGCCCGCAGCCCCGCUGCUAGGAUAGCCGCCCCAACGGCCGCGGCGGCGGCCGCGAGCAGCGCCUUGUUCCACCCCCGGAACGCCUUCAGGUCAUUCCUGCACUGCUUGCAGUGCACCACGUGGCGGUAGUACCGGUUCGCCGGGUUCGGCGCGUGCCGCUCGCCAACGCCUCCCUUGGCCGGGAACGUGGCGGACAUCCCCGCGACCACGCCGACCGGCGCCUGCUCCACCACCGCCGGCUCCUUCGGCGGGGAGAUAGUCGCGUGCCCGAAGUGGUACGGCAUGCCGUGGCCGGCGCGGUCCAUCCACUUUCGGUACUCCGCCACCCACGUGUCCGACGAUCUCAGGUUUAGGUAGAGGUCUCUGGUGGGGCGGCGCUCCUUCACGAGCACCUCGUUCUGCGACGAGAGGAAGCCCAUGUCCUGCUCGAAGACGCUGCAUUGGUUCUGGUGGAUGAACCAGUCGGGGAUGAGCUUGAAGAAGCCUGGCCGGGCGCUGGCGCCGAACCGGGCAAUGAGCAUUGACUUCCCCUGCCCCGUCGGCCGGCAGAGGAACAACGCCGACAGGUACUGCUUCUCUCCCUUCUUGUCGAUUUGUUCUACAUCGUUGGAGAGGACGCAGGGGGCUUGAAAGCGGAGGAAGCUCCACUGCCCGGGCCGCGUCCUUGGCCGCCCCCACCGGCCGGCGAAGCCGCGGGCGGUGCGCUCGGUGACCUCGAACUCCAGCGGCUGCGCCUCCUCACGGCGGGCGGACCAGUCAGUGCGGUCGUGGGAGAUCGGCACGUGCGCCGGGUCCAUCAAGUUCUCGAGAAGGAUGGAGUGGUCGUAGGGCAGCUCAUGGACGGAGGAAAUGGCCUGAAAUCCCGGCCGGUCGUAGUGCUCGAACCAUGGCAGUUUCAAGUUCACCGGCGGGGUCUUGUCCGACAUCCAAACCCACACCACCCCCUGCGAAUCGCGCACCUCGUACGACCUCACGCACGCCGCGCGAGGGAUCUUCGCCGACUCCGGCAGCUGCGGGAUCUUCACGCACCGGCCUUCGCCGGCGAACUGCCAGCCGUGGUAGAGGCACUCCAGGCGUCCAUCCACCAAUUGCCCCUCCGACAGCUUCGCCAAUCUGCAUCAAAA